CCAGAGAACUUUCCAGAGAUGGAUUGGUGCCUUCGGGAACUCUGAGACAGGUGCUGCAUGGCUGUCGUCAGCUCGUGUUGUGAAAUGUUGGGUUAAGUCCCGCAACGAGCGCAACCCUUAUCCUUUGUUGCCAGCGGUUAGCCGGGAACUCAAAGGAGACUGCCAGUGAUAAACUGGAGGAAGGUGGGGAUGACGUCAAGUCAUCAUGGCCCUUACGAGUAGGGCUACACACGUGCUACAAUGGCGCAUACAAAGAGAAGCGACCUCGCGAGAGCAAGCGGACCUCAUAAAGUGCGUCGUAGUCCGGAUUGGAGUCUGCAACUCGACUCCAUGAAGUCGGAAUCGCUAGUAAUCGUGGAUCAGAAUGCCACGGUGAAUACGUUCCCGGGCCUUGUACACACCGCCCGUCACACCAUGGGAGUGGGUUGCAAAAGAAGUAGGUAGCUUAACCUUCGGGAGGGCGCUUACCACUUUGUGAUUCAUGACUGGGGUGAAGUCGUAACAAGGUAGGCGUAGAUGA
rnacentral:rRNA from 1 species